UGGGGAAUCUUGGACAAUGGGGGCAACCCUGAUCCAGCCAUGCCGCGUGAGUGAUGAAGGCCUUAGGGUCGUAAAGCUCUUUCGCCUGUGAAGAUAAUGACGGUAGCAGGUAAAGAAACCCCGGCUAACUCCGUGCCAGCAGCCGCGGUAAUACGGAGGGGGUUAGCGUUGUUCGGAAUUACUGGGCGUAAAGCGCACGUAGGCGGACCAGAAAGUUGGGGGUGAAAUCCCGGGGGCUCAACCCCGGAACUGCCUCCAAAACUAUUGGUCUAGAGUUCGAGAGAGGUGAGUGGAAUUCCAAGUGUAGAGGUGAAAUUCGUAGAUAUUUGGAGGAACACCAGUGGCGAAGGCGGCUCACUGGCUCGAUACUGACGCUGAGGUGCGAAAGUGUGGGGAGCAAACAGGAUUAGAUACCCUGGUAGUCCACACCGUAAAACGAUGAAUGCCAGUCGUCGGGUAGCAUGCUAUUCGGUGACACACCUAACGGAUUAAGCAUUCCGCCUGGGGAGUACGGUCGCAAGAUUAAAAC
rnacentral:rRNA from 1 species